rnacentral:lncRNA from 1 species
AUGCCACUCCUGAGGCUCUCAGGAUGUUGGGUCAUCUGGGGAUCUAGGUUCCAAGGUGGGGGUAAGAGAGGGGCAGGAGAGGGCUUGGGGAGGUGCCUGCCAGGUCGUGUCUCUCUUGGUGGCUGGAUUGGGGCACCCUACUCACCCAAAAGAGAGGGACCCGACUGUACUCAUCAGAGUUCUGUUAUAGUCUGUCUUUCUGGGGGAAGUUAGGGAGAGAUUAUGAUUGAUUGUAAAGAACUGGCUCCCACAAUGAAGCCGGAGAGAUAAAUUUAAAAACUAGCCCAUUUGUCUAUCCUGUGUCCUCCUCUCCCUUACAGAUGCCUCCUCAGAAUGUUCCCUUCACUAACCGAUUACACAAAAUCCCUGUCUCAGCUUUUCUAGGAAAUACGCCCUAAAAUAGUUGUGUCCUAAAAUAUGUCCUAAAACAGUCUAAGAAUGAAUUGUUAUGGAACAAACUUGAGUCGGCUCAGCCUCGUGCAGUAAAGCCAAUCUACUGGUGCUGAGUCGUGGUGAAGGAGUUUAUUACAGACUCCAAGCAAGAAGUCCAGGCAGCUAGUGCUCAGAAGGCUCAAACUCCAGAGAGGGUUUUCAGGGAAAGGUUUUAAAGACAAGGUGAGGGAUGGGAGUCGUGGGGUGGGUGUUCAGCUCAUGAACAUUGUGGGGAACUAAGAUCCCACAUACCGAGCCGGACACCCAUCACUUCACAAAAUUACCUUUUGUGUAUGUGUGUGUGUGUUGAGAACACUUAAGGUCUACAUUUAACAAUUUCAGGUAUACAAUAAGGUAUUAUUAACUAUAGUUGGAUGCUGUACAUCAGAUCUCCACAACUUAUUCAUCUUAUAAUUAAAACUUUGUAUCUUUGUAACAACCUCUUCCCAUUACUCCCACCCUCCCCCCACCAACAAAUGGGUUUAUUGACUGCUGCCUGGACCCUGGUUUGGUAAUGAAUUUGGACUUGAGCUCCUUGCCAGUGGAAAAUGGGAUACUGGUAACGCCUGACAUGCAGCAGCACCGUGAUUAAGCCGCCUAUCACGUGGUUGAUUAUGACGAAGUGCCAACAGAAGCAGGUGCCCUGGGGGACCACGUGGCUCCUGCACUUGACUCUUGCAGCAGUAGAGGUGACCACAAGGACUGUGAUGUGGGAAGGACUCCCCUGGGGGCGCCUGUUUGUUUGAAGAAAGAAAAUGACAAGAUCAGGCCUUUAAACUUUCAGCCUAAGUCACGCCCAGAGAUCCAGGGAUAUUUUCUGUCAGCCAUAGAAUAAUCGUAUAGCUGCAGGGCUGACACUGCUGAAAAUCAAACACAUAACUGAAUGAUGUAUAUUGCGGAAUGACACUGUAAGUUGAGUUCACAGCCUCGAGAGAUCUUUUCUGUGAAAGGAAAGGCGUUGAUUACGAAGGAGUGGAGCCAAAGCCUGGAGAAGUUUAGGUGGUCUUGGACUAAGUUGAGAUCUUGAACCCCUGAGUCACUUGGAGUCUCCCUUGCCAGUGAAAACAGACUGUUCUGAUAUCUGGGGAAAGUAGCUUUCCUCUGUUUGAAUAUACCACAAUAAUCUCACCUGGAGUGGUUGUCUUGCAAGGGGAGGAGAGUUCUCCUCAAAGCCCACACCAGCCAGCCUUGUUACCCUCUAACGCUGGUUGUCCCAUAACUACAGUUAGAUCAGCACGCUGCAGGAGCAAGUACAAAGGCUCGCCUGGGAGGAACUCAUUCAUAUGCCCAAAGAAUGAUGCUGGUAGAAAACUAGGGAACGUGUGUGGGAAUGGAUCUGAGGAUGUUAGAAUAAAGAGGACGGGAUGUGAUUUUUGGAUCUAGUGAAGUUAUUGUUCUGGGCGUACAUCCCAGCAAGCCUGUGUUUAUUUCUUAAUUUUUUUUAGCAGACAGAUCUUUUAUUAAAUGACAGAGGAUAAUACACUCCUGAAACACGAGAGCAGGUUGACUGCAAAGGAGUGGCUAAAGCCUGUGUUUAAAUGUUAUUCAUGCAGCUGAAUGUUUCUUGGUUGGUUGGCUAAGGACUGAACACAGUGGUGGCCUGUGUUUAAGGGGAUUAGAAUUCAAGAAUGUCCCUGGCAUCAUGUAAAGAAAGGAACUCAGACUCUGCAAGAUAGAAAUGCUUCAAUGAGUCUGUCAUAUUUGAUGAGCACACCCACCACCCCACUGAGAGGGCCCUGAGGACACUCCCUUCCAUAAGUCAGGGAGAGACGUCAGUGAGGGAAACACUGGCAGCUUGGAUAGCUCUGUGGUCACUGUUCUCUGCAGGCCACAUAUGAUGGUGGGAGAUGCUGCAUUGAGAUGAAGUUCCUGAUUUGAGAAGGGAUGACAGGACCCCAGGUGCCUGGGAAAGUAGAAGAAGUAAGCCCAGAGCUGGA